AACGCGAAGAACCUUACCUGGGCUUGACAUGUUCCGGACGGUCGCGGAGACGCGGCUUCCCUUCGGGGCCGGUUCACAGGUGGUGCAUGGUCGUCGUCAGCUCGUGUCGUGAGAUGUUGGGUUAAGUCCCGCAACGAGCGCAACCCUCGCCUUGUGUUGCCAGCGCGUCAUGGCGGGAACUCACAAGGGACCGCCGGGGUUAACUCGGAGGAAGGUGGGGAUGACGUCAGAUCAUCAUGCCCCUUACGUCCAGGGCUUCACGCAUGCUACAAUGGCCGGUACAACGGGAUGCGACACCGCGAGGUGGAGCGGAUCCCUGAAAACCGGUCUCAGUUCGGAUCGCAGUCUGCAACUCGACUGCGUGAAGGCGGAGUCGCUAGUAAUCGCGAAUCAGCAACGUCGCGGUGAAUGCGUUCCCGGGUCUUGUACACACCG
rnacentral:rRNA from 1 species